rnacentral:rRNA from 1 species
CAGCAGUCGCCACGGUAAUACGGAGGGUGCAAGCGUUAAUCGGAAUUACUGGGCGUAAAGCGCACGCAGGCGGUCUGACAAGUCAGAUGUGAAAUCCCCGGGCUUAACCUGGGAACUGCAUUUGAAACUGUCAGGCUGGAGUCUUGUAGAGGGGGGUAGAAUUCCAGGUGUAGCGGUGAAAUGCGUAGAGAUCUGGAGGAAUACCGGUGGCGAAGGCGGCCCCCUGGACAAAGACUGACGCUCAGGUGCGAAAGCGUGGGGAGCAAACAGGAUUAGAUACCCGCGUAGUCCCUGUCUCUUAUAC